rnacentral:rRNA from 1 species
AUGGCCGCCUACGACCGCGCGGCCGAGCUCCGCGCGCUGGACGCGACCUUGGCCGGCGUCCGCGGUCUCGUCGCCGCCGGUGCCACGCACGUCCCCCUCAUCUUCCGCGUCCCGGACCACCACCACCACCACGAACCGUCCUCCCAAGAACCGUUGCCGCCGUCGGUCCCGGUGAUCGAUCUCGGCGGCGCGGACCGCGCUGCUGUGGUCGCGGCCGUGCGUCGGGCCGCCGCGGAGUGGGGCUUCUUCCAGGUGACGGGCCACGGCGUGCCUCCGCAGUCGAUGGCCGCAGCGGUGGGGGCCGUGCGGGCCUUCCACGAGGCCGACGGCGGCGAGGGCAGCGAGAAGGCCAGGCUCUACUCCCGGGAGCCUGUCAAGGCGGUCAAGUACCAGUGCAACUUCGACCUGCACCAGUCGCGGGUGGCCAACUGGCGCGACACGCUCUACAUCCGAAUGGCCCCCGACCCGCCCGACGCCGACGAGCUGCCGGAAACCUGCCGCGACACGAUGUUUGAAUACGCAAAACAAGUGAUGAAUUUGGGCAACACUUUGUUCGAGCUGCUUUCAGAAGCUCUUGGGCUUGAUCCGAGCUAUCUGACAGAUAUCGAUUGCAACCAAGGACAAAUCUUACUCUGCCACUACUUCCCUCCAUGCCCUCAGCCUGAACUUGCCAUUGGCACAAGCCGGCACUCCGACUCUACCUUUAUGACAAUACUUCUCCAAGAUGAAAUUGGCGGCCUCCAGAUCCUCCAUGAGGACCGAUGGGUCGACGUUACGCCGACACCGGGAGCAUUCAUCGUCAACAUCGGCGAUCUCCUACAGAUGAUCUCCAAUGACGCGUUCAUUAGCGUCGAGCAUAGGGUGGUGGUGAAGAACAUUGCACCGAGAGUCUCGAUCGCGUGCUUUUUCAGUUCGCAUUUCCACCCAGCCUCGACCAGGAUGUAUGGUCCGAUCAAGGAGCUGUUGUCGGACGACAACCCGCCGUUGUACAGGGAGACCCUCGUCAGAGAUUAUGUCAAACAUUACAACUCCAUCGGGUUAGAUGCAAAAAAUGCUAUGUCUGAUUUCCGAUCAUGA